rnacentral:rRNA from 1 species
AUUGAACGCUGGCGGCAGGCCUAACACAUGCAAGUCGAACGAGUGGCGGACGGGUGAGUAAUGUCUGGGAAACUGCCUGAUGGAGGGGGAUAACUACUGGAAACGGUAGCUAAUACCGCAUACCAUCGGAUGUGCCCAGAUGGGAUUAGCUAGUAGGUGGGGUAAAGGCUCACCUCGGCGACGAGACCUAGCUGGUCUGUGAGGAUGACCAGCAACAAUGGAACUGAGACACGUUCCGGACUCCUACGGGAGGCAGGAGUGGGGAAUAGUGAACAAUGGGCGCAAGCCGAAAGCAGGCAGGCCGCGUGUAUGAAGAAGGCCUUCGGGUUGUAAAGUACUUUCAGCGGGGAGGCGUUACCCGCAGAAGAAGCACCGGCUAACUCCGUGCAAGCAGCAGCGGUAAUA